rnacentral:rRNA from 1 species
UACGAAGGGGGCUAGCGUUGCUCGGAAUCACUGGGCGUAAAGGGUGCGUAGGCGGGCCUUUAAGUCAGGGGUGAAAUCCUGGAGCUCAACUCCAGAACUGCCUUUGAUACUGAAGAUCUUGAGUCCGGGAGAGGUGAGUGGAACUGCGAGUGUAGAGGUGAAAUUCGUAGAUAUUCGCAAGAACACCAGUGGCGAAGGCGGCUCACUGGCCCGGUACUGACGCUGAGGUGCGAAAGCGUGGGGAGCAAACAGG